UGGAAGUAAAGUCGUAACAAGGUUUCCGUAGGUGAACCUGCGGAAGGAUCAUUAAUAAAUGGCUCCGAUGUUUGGAGCACUUAAUAAUCCUACCCUUUGUGAAUUUGUUUUGUUUGAAUAAUUUUUUUUUUCUUGAAAAAAAAAAAAUUAUUGAUUGUCUUUCCCUGUUGAAUUGGAUGACAUCUUAGGAUGUUUGAAAAUUCGCAGGGGAUAGUCAGUAAUUUUUUUUUUUAAAAGAAAGAAAGACCUUUUUUAAAUUAAACUUUUUGGUAUUCAUUUGUCUAAAAUUAUUUUUAUAAUAUAAAAACAACUUUUGACAAUGGAUCUCUUGGUUCUCGCAACGAUGUAGAACGCAGCAAAAUGCGAUAAGUAGUGUGAAUUGCAGAAUACGUGAAUCAUCGAAUCUUCGAACGCAUAUUGCACUUUUUUAGUUUACUAAAAAUGUAUGUCUGUUUGAGUAUCAGUAAAAUAUUCUCAUAAAAAAUAUUUAUUAUUUUUUAUGGUUAUGAGUGUUUUACAACGAUAACAAGUUGUUUCACUUUAAAUUUUUUUAAAAUAAGAAUUUUUUUCUAAUUUUAAAAUAAAAUUGGAUAAAAUUUUCCCGUAAAAAGGAAUAACUUUAACAAUUUUACUUUUUAAAAAUGGAAAAAUUCAAUUAAAGGAAUUUAUUAAUAAAAAUAACUUGAUCUCAAAUCAGAUAAGAGUACCCGCUGAACUUAAGCAUAUCAAUAAGCGGAGGAAAAGAAACUAACAAGGAUUCCCUUAGUAACGGCGAGUGAAGCGGGAAGAGCUCAAAUUUGAAAUCUUCAAGGUUUUACCUUGACGAAUUGUAGUUUAAAGAAGUGUUUUCUGUUGAAGUUUUGGUAAAAGUUCUUUGGAAUAGGACAUCAUAGAGGGUGAGAAUCCCGUAUUUGACCAUCAUUUUCAGCUGUGUGAUACACUUUCAAAGAGUCGGACUGUUUGGGAAUGCAGUCCAAAAUGGGUGGUAAAUUUCAUCUAAAGCUAAAUAUUGGCGAGAGACCGAUAGCGAACAAGUACCGUGAGGGAAAGAUGAAAAGAACUUUGAAAAGAGAGUUAAACAGUACGUGAAAUUGUCAAAAGGGAAGCGUUUGACACCAGUGUUGUUUUCUCGAAAAUCAAUUAAAAAUGGUUGGAUUUUGUGUUGAUAUGACCUUAACAGCUUUCUUCACUUUUUCCUGCCCUUUUUAAUGCACUUUUCGUUUAACAAGUCAACAUCAGUUUCUUUUGUUGUAAAAAGGUCAUUGGAAGGUGGCUUUCUUUUCGGAGAAAGUGUUUAUAGCCUUUGAUCUCUGCAAUCGGAGAGACUGAGGUCUGCAGCGUAGACUCCUCUCGGGGGGUUAGAUACAUUUGUGCUAAGUUAUAGCUUUUUAUAGACAACUUGUUGACUAUAUUUAGUCUUGUAGCUUACUCGCUUAUGCUAUUUUACCUACGCUUAGGAUGUUGAU
rnacentral:misc_RNA from 1 species